CAUAUAUCAUCCGCAUGGGAAAUGUAACUUUGAGUUUGUGCGGUCAAGUCGAUUUUUGUUGAGUAGAACCUUGAAAGGCAUUGCAAUCGCACCGCACUUUGUAAACGCGUUCCGUGAAAAUAUAUGGUGCAAAUUGUUCCAAAAUAUUGAUCGUGAAUACUCAUUCAGUGUUUAAAUUGUGCUAAUAAAAUAAAUAUUCAUCAAAAUGUUCAGUGGAAUCGCAGACAAGAACCUUGGGGCGUUCCGAAGCAUCGGCGAAAAGACUGCAUCCCUCUUCGAACGCAAGAAGAAGGAUGCCGAGCAAGUGGCUUCAGAGAAGGUGCAGGAAGCUGCCCAUGUCGUAGAAGACCAAGUCAAGAAAGCCGGUGAAAUCAUCGGUGGGGCACAGAAGACUGCUACCGAUGCUGCGGGCACUGCUAACGACGCAAAGCACUCAGCCAUCGAUGCUUUAGACAAGGAGUUGUCGAAGGUGUCCCUCGCUGCUGGUGAGGCGCAGGACGCGGCCAGCAAGGCUUUGGCUGACGGCAAGAAGGUUGUCGACGUCACUAAAGACACACUGGCGACGACCGCAGAUAACACAAAAAAGGCAGCUGAGUCAGCGUACAACACUACAAAAGAUACUGUGUCAAGCACUAUUCAAAGUACCGUAGAUACCACACAGAAAGUUGCUCAAUCGGCUAUUGAUACCGGCAAAACUUAUGCCACAGCCGCUAGAGAUUCAGUCGCUAACUCGCUCAAUAGUACAGUAGAAAAUACAAAAUACGCCGCCCAAACGGCUGUAGACACGACAAAGUCUUACGUAGAUAGUGCCAAAGAUACUGCCCAAAAUACGUUUCAAAUGGCGUACGAUGCGUCUGUUGGUGCUGCUGGCUCCGCUUAUAAUAUGGGCUUGUCCUAUUUAGAGAGUGCUAAAGAUACGGUAGCAAGCACAGUAGAUAGCACAAAGAAAACUGCACAAAGUACACUAGAAACUGGGAAAAGCUACGUCGACUCCGCCAAAGAUACGGUUCAGAGUACAAUUAAUACGACAAUAGAUACGACUAAAACUGCUGCCCAAACCGCAGUAGAAACAGGAAAAACAUAUGUUAACACAGCCAAAGAUAGUGUAGCGAAUACGGUUCAUACGACUGUAGAUACCACGAAGAAUGUCGCGGCAGCCGCUGUUGAGAAAGGCACAACUAUGAUUGGCACUGCCAAAGAAUCCGUAGCAAACACUAUUAAUACAACUGUGGACACUACUAAAAAUGUGGCCGCCGCUGCUGUUGACAAAGGCACAACCCUUAUUGGCAGUGCUAAAGAUACGGUUGCAAGCACAGUAGACACUACUAAAAAUGUAGCGGCUGCUGCUGUUGAUAAAGGCACUACAUUCAUUGGCACAGCUAAAGAUACCGUAGCAAGCACUGCACAGACUACUGUUGAUUCGACUAAGAACGCUGCCGCAUCGGCUGUGAAUCAGGGAAGCACAUUCAUUGGCACUGCCAAAGAUAAUGUUACAAGCACAGUGCAAUCGACAGUAGACAGUACUAAAAACGCGGCGUCCGCAGCAGUUGACAAGAGCACAACACUUUUUGGUUCAGCUAAAGAUACGGUAGGAAGCACAGUCCAAACUACAUUAGAUACGACCAAAAAUGUAGCUGCCGCUGCUGUAGAAAAAGGCACUACUGCGAUUGGCACAGCUAAAGAUACGGUAGCAAGCACAGUUCAUACAACAUUAGACACAACCAAAAAUGUUGCUGCCGCUGCAGUAGAAAAAGGUUCAGCAAUGGUUGGCACUGCUAAAGAUACGGUAGCAAGCACAAUUCAAACCACUGUAGACACGACUAAAAAUGUAGCUGCCGCCGCAGUCGAGAAGGGCACUACCGCGAUUGGCACAGCUAAAGAUACGGUAGCAAGCACUAUUCACACUACAGUAGACACAACCAAAAAUGUUGCUGCGGCUGCAGUAGAAAAGGGUUCAGCAAUGGUUGGCACAGCUAAAGAUACGGUAGCGAGCACAAUUCAAACCACUGUAGACACAACUAAAAAUGUAGCUGCCGCCGCAGUCGAGAAGGGCACUACCGCUAUUGGCACAGCUAAAGAUACCGUAACAAAUACAUUUGACUCAACAAAACAGGCUGCGGCUUCGGCUGUUGACACUGGCGUAUCUUACGCUACUAGUGCCAAAGACACGUUAGCAAAUACCGUUCAUAGCACUGUAGAUGCCACAAAGAAUGUAACAUCAUCCGUUGUAGACAAAGGCGUAUCUUUAGUAGGAAGUGCCAAAGAUACCGUAGCCCAUACUUUUGAUGCAACCAAAAACGCAGCCGCUUCUGCAGUUGGUACCGGCGUAUCUUUCGCCGCUAGUGCUAAAGACACGCUAGCAAACACCGUACAUAGCACUGUAGAUGCAACAAAGAACGUAGCAUCGUCAGCUGUAGACAAAGGCGUAUCUUUAGUAGGAAGUGCCAAAGAUACAUUGGCAAGCACUGUAGAUACGGCUAAAAAUGCGGCAGCUGGUGCCGUAGACACAAGCGUUUCAUUCUUAGGAUCUGCUAAAGAUACGGUUGCAAACACAGUCCACAGCACUGUAGACACAACAAAGUCAGCCGCGGCUUCGGUUGUCGACAAGGGAGUAUCUUUUGUCGGAGGUGCUAAAGGUUUAAUCGAAACGAACCUUCAAGGGCCCAAAGAUUCUACUGAAAACGUGCUGAGCGAGGGUGUAGAGACAUUUGAAAAUACAACCGGUACACAAAGACUGAUGCUUAGACAGGCUUUAGACAUAACAGUUGACUUACUUAACUACUUAUUAAAGCUACAUAAUUGCGUUGUGAAGUUAUCGAGUGAUUACUAAUUUUAGUCCAUAAUUAAGUCCACAUCGAUCGAAAUCACAAAGAACAUUAAAAAAUCUAUUAAAAAAAAUCCCAAAAUAAGUAUUGAAUUAAACAUUCCAGUUGGAUUUAUCGUUUAAAUGUAACAUAACAAUCCUAGGCUAGUAAAGUAGGUCCUACUACUUUUUAUUUUCUCAGUCAGGUACAAAUAAGGCACUAAGUCCCACUGUCCCUUUUAUGGAACCGUACCUUACGUCACUAAGCAGACUAUUUUUAUCGACGUGGACCGAGUAUCAGUGUGUUUUUCGCCCUAACAACAAAGCGUGUUGAUUGAAUUUGAGGAAAACUUAAAAACAAUAAUUUUAUAGAACAAUAACAGAAGUUAAUGGGUUGUACAAACAUAAGUAGGACAGAGAUUGGUGAUUACAGUUUGCACUUUGAACAAUGACGUCAUGCCUUUAAGGUCGACUAAUCUUUGAAGAGUUUCUUUGUAUUGUUCUUAGGAAUGUAUGGCACAUUGCACAUUCCUAUAGUGAUAUACAUUGGGCAAUAGAUAGGCACAAUUUUGGCAUAAUGGCCUGAGUAGAAAUACUUUGUCAUAAUCUUUUACACUCAGAUAAUAAUUGUAUUAUCAUCUCUACGACGUCCACUGCUGAUACCUAUGGGUCCGCGUUUUUAAAAAGACCGAUACCUAGAUUGUUCAAAAGAUAUCGAUUCCAUACAUAGUCUUUAACCGAGCAUGCAGGUUUUAUCACAACAGUGUUUCAACAAAAGGUUCUUACUAAGCUUAGGUGUGAAACCUCACAUCAUUUAUAACCUUGGAAACAUUGUGUUACAUACCCGUUCUCGUCCAUAGGAAGUUACUUUUUGGACCUAAGAAUCAAUCUUAUUUACCUAUAUUUUUAUAUACAUUCUUAAGAUGAAGUUUCCUAACCAAGACCUGUUGUUCUGCAGAUACGAUCAACACCACAGUGGACGCGACUAAGAAGGCCGCCGAAGACGCGAAGGCGCAAGCCGCUAAGGCCGCUGAAGACGCGAAGGAGAAGGCCAGACUCGCUGCUAAAGCCGCUGAGGAUGAGGCCAAGAGAGUUGCUAACGCCGCUGUUGAAGAGUCUAAGAAGGCAGCCGAGAAGGCGGCCGCAGAUGCCAGCAACGCCAUCAACAGCACCGUGGACAAUACCCUGAAGAGGGUGGAGACAGCCGCUGACGAGGGCAUCAAGAACGCCAGCAAUGUUGUCGACUCCAAGCUCAAGGAAACUGACAAGUACCUCAAUGAGAAGAGGGAUCAUCUGCUGUCAAACCUGUCGUCAGCCGUCAAUGAUGCGUCAACAGGCGCCACCGGUCUGCUGAGCAAGGGCCUGAGCGCCUUCCCCAAGUAGACGCUGUUCCGCAUCUACCAUCACCGCUACCUUCACGUGUGGAAAUGGAAAUAUAACAGGCUUUCAUCGGAUUUAUUACAAAAUAGGCCUAAAUACAGCUAGAGCUAUGUGUGUUAAGAAGUUUCUUUAUUUUAUCACAUGUAUAUUAUCUUUGUAGUUUUGUAAUGACAAAAUUAUAUAAGGUAUUUUUAUUCUGAUUCGUAAUUUUUUUGAACUUGGCUACUAUUUUUAACUUUUAUUUUAAUAACGUCAUACGAUUUAUAAAUAUAAAACAUGAUAUUCCAUGUCUGUGAAAACCUGUUAUUUUCCUUUGUUACAUAUUUCGAAUAGUCCAUCACAUUUUGUUUAUAAACAUGCACAUUGUUCGUAAGUUUUGUUUUAAUUAAUAGUACAAUAUUGUAUAGUUUCUAGUUAGUAAGUUUUACUAACAUAAAUGUUAAUGGACAUUGCUGAGAACAAAAUAAAUAUUGUAUUACUUAAUGAUACUUUUGACACGUUUCUAUCAAUGAUAUUGCUUUGCAUAUUAUAUCACAAAAUCAAUUUGCAUUAUUUUAUAUUUAAGUCACAAAAUUUCAAUCUCAUGUGUAGGCGUCUAUAUUAUUUCUUAAGAUAAGUGUAAGUUAUUUUAAGCUCUUUUUAUAUUUUUUGGCAUUUGAAAUGCAUUUCGCAUACACAUGUCUCGAAUUUCUUGCUUGGCUUAAACCGUCCAUGAAUAGCCUUUUACAAAAUAUGAAUAAGGAAAUAUUUACCGUGUUCCUACAAUAGUACCUAACUCACAGCAUUACAGAAGUCUCGCAUAUUUAUGUGAUAGUGUGAUCACAAAGCCUAAAAUAUUAUGUAUAUUUGUUACUGCUUAGCAGUCUAUUUUAUGAUACGAAUAUAUACGGAUGUUAAAAAUAUAGUAGGUAGAUAUUUAUUGUAAGAUCAGUCAUAUUUCUACAAUGGCGCUUAAAAUUUUAUUGUUGCUUUAUAAAUUAUGUAAAUGUGUUAUAUCCGAGUACCUACAUGUUUUAAUCAAAUAAUUUUUCAUUGUAAUAAUCUUGUUUAUUUUCUAUAUCUGUUAAAUUUAUCAUAUUACUUACUAUGUGUUGUUCAAUAAAUACAUGCGACCCAUA